rnacentral:rRNA from 1 species
UUAUCCGGAUUUAUUGGGUUUAAAGGGAGCUUAGGCGGACGUUUAAGUCAGUUGUGAAAGUUUGCGGCUCAACCGUAAAAUUGCAGUUGAUACUGGGUGUCUUGAGUACAGUAGAGGCAGGCGGAAUUCGUGGUGUAGCGGUGAAGUGCUUAGAUAUCACGAAGAACUCCGAUUGCGAAGGCAGCUUGCUGGACUGUAACUGACGCUGAUGCUCGAAAGUGUGGGUAUCAAACAGGAUUAGAUACCCUGGUAGUCCACACAGUAAACGAUGAAUACUCGCUGUUUGCGAUAUACAGUAAGCGGCCAAGCGAAAGCGUUAAGUAUUCCCCCUGGGGAGUACCCCGGCAACGGUGAAACUC